CCUACGGGAGGCAGCAGUGAGGAAUAUUGCGCAAUGGGGGAAACCCUUACGCAGCAACGCCGCGUGGGCGAUGAAGGCCUUCGGGUUGUAAAGCCCUGUCGGCGGGGACGAUGCGGCCGGACCAACCAUCUGGUCGUGACGGUACCCGCCAAGGAAGCACCGGCUAACUCCGUGCCAGCAGCCGCGGUAAUACGGAGGGGGCGAGCGUUGUCCGGAAUUACUGGGCGUAAAGCGCGUGCAGGCGGCCUGUUAUGUCGGGUGUGAAAUCCCUCGGCUCAACCGAGGAACUGCGCCCGAAACUGGCAGGCUUGAGUGCGGGAGGGGAUGGUGGAAUUCCCGGUGUAGAGGUGAAAUUCGUAGAUAUCGGGAAGAAUACCGGUGGCGAGGGCGGCUCUCUGGACCGAUACUGACGCUGAGACGCGAAAGCGUGGGGAGCAAACAGGAUUAGAUACCCCUGUAGU
rnacentral:rRNA from 1 species